rnacentral:lncRNA from 1 species
UCGUUUAGAAGAUAACGAUAGGAUAUGAUUAUUGUGUGGAGCAAAGAUAACGAUAGGAUAUGAUUACCCUGCCUUGCAUUCUUCUGAGGUUUUGUGAGGAACUUUUGUAGUUUUUUUUUCCUUAUCAUUUUGUAACGAUCCAGGGAACCGGUCAAGAGAGGAUGUUUUGUUAAUUAAUGGGUCACGCGACUCGCGGGCGAGAGACGUGAACGAAGAAACGAUACAGUUGCCUCC